rnacentral:rRNA from 1 species
GACGAACGCUGGCGGCGUGCUUAACACAUGCAAGUCGAACGGAAAGGCCUGCUUUCCCUUGUGGAUUGCGGGUACUCGAGUGGCGAACGGGUGAGUAACACGUGAGUGAUCUGCCCCCAACUUGGGUAUAAGCCUGGGAAACUGGGUCUAAUUCCCGAUAGGACUGCAGGGUGGUGCCUGUGGUGGAAAACGAUUUUCUAGUGGUUGGGGAUGAGCUCGCGGCCUAUCAGCUUGUUGGUGGGGUAAUGGCCUACCAAGGCGGCGACGGGUAGCCGGCCUGAGAGGGUGGACGGCCACAUUGGGACUGAGAGACGGCCCAGACUCCUACGGGAGGCAGCAGUGGGGAAUAUUGCACAAUGGGCGGAAGCCUGAUGCAGCGACGCCGAGUGGGGGAUGACGGCCUUCGGGUUGUAAACUCCUUUCGACCGCGAGGAAGCCACCUGGUUGGAAGGGUGGUGACGGUAGUGGUAGAAGAAGCACCGGCUAACUACGUG